rnacentral:rRNA from 1 species
UAAGGAAUAUUGGUCAAUGGACGCAAGUCUGAACCAGCCAUGCCGCGUGGAGGAUGAAGGUCCUCUGGAUUGUAAACUUCUUUUAUUUGGGAAGAAAUCUAUGAAUUCUUUCAUAGUUGACGGUACCAGAUGAAUAAGCACCGGCUAACUCCGUGCCAGCAGCCGCGGUAAUACGGAGGGUGCAAGCGUUAUCCGGAUUCACUGGGUUUAAAGGGUGCGUAGGUGGGUCUGUAAGUCCGUGGUGAAAUCUCCGAGCUUAACUUGGAAACUGCCAUGGAUACUAUAGGUCUUGAAUACUGUGGAGGUCAGCGGAAUAUGUCAUGUAGCGGUGAAAUGCUUAGAUAUGACAUAGAACACCAAUUGCGAAGGCAGCUGGCUACACAAAUAUUGACACUGAUGCACGAAAGCGUGGGGAUCAAACAG